rnacentral:rRNA from 1 species
AUUGAACGCUGGCGGCGUGCCUAACACAUGACAAGUCGAGCGGUAACAGGUGUAGCAAUACAUGCUGACGAGCGGCGAACGGGUGAGUAAUGCUUCGGAAUCUGCCCAUGUAGUGGGGAAUAACCAGCCGAAAGGUUGGCUAAUACCGCAUACGACCUACGGGUGAAAGCAGGGGAUCGCAAGACCUUGCGCUAUUGGAUGAGCCGAAGUCGGAUUAGCNGUUGGUAGGGUAACGGCCUACCAAGGCGACGAUCCGUAGCUGGUCUGAGAGGACGACCAGCCACACUGUGACUGAGACACGGCCCAGACU